UCUUGUGGUUUAAUUUAGUUAAUUCUGCAAGUGUAGGAGAGAUCUCGUCUGAUCUCAGAAGCUAAGCAGGUUUGGGCUUGGUUAGUACUUGGAAUGGAGACCGCCUGGGAAUACCAGGUGCUGUAAGCU
rnacentral:rRNA from 1 species